rnacentral:rRNA from 1 species
UACGUAGGGUGCGAGCGUUGUCCGGAAUUAUUGGGCGUAAAGGGCUCGUAGGCGGUCUGUUGCGUCGGGAGUGAAAACUCAGGGCUUAACCCUGAGCCUGCUUCCGAUACGGGCAGACUAGAGGUAUGCAGGGGAGAACGGAAUUCCUGGUGUAGCGGUGAAAUGCGCAGAUAUCAGGAGGAACACCGGUGGCGAAGGCGGAUCUCUGGGCCUUACCUGACGCUCAGGUGCGAAAGCUAGGGGAGCGAAAGGG